UUAGUUGAAGGGGUGCGCUCACAUUCAUC
rnacentral:piRNA from 1 species